UAGUAUUGAUGUGACAUGUUGAAUAAAUCAUGAAAACCAAAAGGGAGACCUCAUUGCAAUUUAAAGUUUCAAAACCACAAGGUACUAGCCAUACUAAUUUCCUACUAAUAUUUGUACUUAUGGAGAAAGCCUUCAGUUCUUUUUUCUUAAUAAUAUUCUUGUUGCGUCACUAUGUUAUGGCUAGUUUGGCCAUGACCCAAACCAACAUUACCACUGAUCAAUUGGCUCUUCUGUCUUUGAAAUCCCAAAUCAUUUCAGACCCCUUUCACUUCUUGGAUGAAAGUUGGUCUCCAGCUAGGUCUGUUUGUCAUUGGGUUGGAGUCACUUGUGGCUUCCGCCGCCAGCGAGUGAAGUCAUUAAAUCUUUCCAAUAUGGCUCUUAUUAGCAAGAUUCCCCGUGAUUUUGGUAACCUAACAUUUCUUACUUCUAUUGACUUGGGAAGCAACAAUUUCCUUGGAAAUUUGCCUCAGGAAAUGGCACGUUUGCAUCGGCUUAAGUUUCUUGAUGUAAGUUUCAACAACUUCAGUGGGGAGGUUCCCUCUUGGUUUGGGUUUUUACACCAACUUCAAGUUUUAAAUCUUGGAAAUAAUAGUUUCACUGGUUCCAUCCCUUCUUCAUUUUCUAAUGUUUCCACACUUGAGACUUUGAAUCUGAAAUUCAAUUCCAUAGAAGGCCAAAUUCCGGACGUGAUUGGAAGUCUUACAAACCUUAGAGUAUUAAGCUUGCAGGGUAACAAGCUCAUAGGUUUUAUUCCUCUGUCACUCUCAAAUUUCUCAAGGUUGGAGACUUUAGAAUUAUCUGAAAACUCACUUCAAGGAAAUAUUCCAGAAGAAAUUGGCAAUCUUUACAACCUUAACAUGUUGGGCGUAGAAUUCAAUCAGCUUACAGGUUCUAUACCACUGUCAAUUUUCAACAUUUCUAGAAUCGAAGUCAUUGCAUUUACAAGCAAUAGGUUAUCAGGAAAUCUUCCCAAUGGUUUAUGCUAUGGUCUCCCACUACUCAAAGAGCUUUAUCUAUCUGAUAACAAGCUUCAUGGUCAUAUGCCAACAAGCAUGUCAAAUUGUUCACAACUUCAAGUAUUGUCUUUAUCAAAAAAUGAGUUUGAUGGACCAAUACAUAGUGAAAUUGGAAGAUUGAGUAACUUGCAGAUAUUGCAUCUUGGAAAUAACCUUUACACAGGAGUAAUUCCAAAUGAAAUUGGGAAUCUUGUUAAACUGGUGGAGUUAGGCAUGGCGGAAAACCAGAUUAUGGGCUCUGUGCCGAUCUCCUUGUUCAAUAACACUUCACUGCAAACCUUAAAUCUAUGGGGCAACAAUCUUAGUGGAUCCUUACCGGGGGAGAUUGGCAACUUAACCAAGAUGCAAUUUUCAUAUCUUGACAAAAAUAAGUUUACUGGUGAAAUACCCAAAGAGAUGAGCAAUCUCAUUGAGUUGAAGGUACUUAAUCUUCAGAGUAAUGGAUUUAGUGGUCCGCUUGAUAUGAGAAUCUUCAACAUAUCAGGGCUGAGAACAAUUUCCCUUUCAGCCAACAAUCUAUCAGGAACCUUCCCACCAAACAUAUGUUCUAUCAUACCCAACAUUGAAGGGCUUUAUCUGCGCAACUUAACCAAUCUUGUUGGGACUAUACCUCAUUCAAUCUCCAAUUGUUCAAAACUUACUUUACUAGAGCUUUCAGACAACAAACUCACUGGCUUGAUUCCCAAUUCUCUGGGAUAUUUGACUCAUCUGCAGUUCCUAAACUUGGAGGGAAACAACUUAACCAGUGAUUCAUCGUUAAGCUUCCUCACUUCCUUAACGAAUUGCAGAAAUUUGACAAAUCUUGCUAUAUCUUUGAACCCUCUAUAUGGCAUGCUUCCGGCCUCAGUAGGUAACCUUUCCACAUCUCUUUUAAGAUUUUAUGCCAAAAGUUGCAAAAUCAAAGGGCGAAUUCCAAAUGAAAUUGGGAACUUAAGCAGCUUAUUUUUCCUUGUUCUUUCUGGAAACAACUUGGUUGGAUCAAUUCCCACAACAAUUGGCAACUUGAGAAACCUUCAACGCUUCAACUUUAGUAACAACAAACUUACAGGAUUUAUUGGGGAUCAUAUAUGUAAAUUGCAGGAUUUGGGUGAUAUUUACUUGGGUCAAAAUCAACUUUCAGGAUCUCUUCCUAACUGUUUAGGGAAUAUUACUUCCCUUAGGGAGAUAUAUCUCGGUUCCAACAAAUUGAGUUCCAACAUACCACCAAGCUUGGGGAAGCUUCAAGAUCUAGUGGUUCUUGACUUAUCGUCAAACAACAUGGUAGGUUCUUUACCUCCAGAAAUUGGAAAUCUAAAGGCUGCGACGCUUAUAGAUCUAUCAAUGAAUCAAUUCUCAAAUGAAAUUCCUAGAGAAAUUGGAGGAUUGCGAACUCUGGUGCACCUUUCUCUGAAACAUAAUAAAUUGCAAGGAUCUAUACCUGACUCAAUGAGCAACAUGGUAGGUUUGGAAUUCCUAGACCUUUCUCACAAUAAUAUAUCGGGUAUCAUUCCUACGUCUAUGGAGAAACUACAAAACCUAAAGUAUUUCAAUGUUUCUGUCAACAAGUUGUAUGGAGAAAUACCCUUGAGGGGUCCUUUCAAGAACCUCCCGAGUCAGUUUUUCAUGUACAAUGAAGCAUUGUGUGGUUCUUCAAGGUUUAGUGUCCCUCCAUGCCCCACUUCAUCAAAGCACAGUUCAAAUAGGAAAAAAUUUCUAGUUCUGUUUCUUUUGCUUGGAUUUAUACUUUUAUUUGUUCCUAUCACCUUUGUGUUUGUAUGGUUAAAGUAUAGAAGAGGUAAAAGAGAUCCUCCACAAGCUAAGUCAUUGUCUACCGUAACAAGAGAAAGAAUUUCAUACUAUGAACUGCUCCAAGCAACUGAUGCACUUAGUGAGAGUAAUUUGAUUGGUUCUGGAAGUUUUGGCUCUGUGUACAAAGGCACUCUCACAAGUGGGACUCUGGUUGCAGUUAAAGUGUUUAAUUUAAAAUUGGAAACGGCAUUCAAGAGUUUUGAUACAGAAUGUGAAGUUUUGCGCAACCUUCGUCAUAGGAAUCUUGUUAAAGUCAUCACUAGUUGUUCUAACCUUGAUUUUAAGGCUUUAGUGCUCCAGUAUAUGCCAAAUGGUAGUCUUGAGAAGUAUUUGUAUUCAUACAACUACUUCCUCGACAUUAGACAAAGACUAAGCAUAAUGAUAGAUGUGGCAUGUGCAUUGGAAUAUCUCCAUCAUGGGUGUUCGUCGGCUGUGAUUCACUGUGAUCUAAAGCCUAGUAAUGUCUUGCUGGAUGAGGAUAUGGUUGCCCACCUAAGCGACUUUGGCAUUUCAAAACUACUUGGUGAAGAUGAGAGUGAUUUAUACACUAAAACCUUAGCAACACUUGGUUAUAUUGCUCCGGAGUAUGGACUGGAUGGACUAGUGUCAACAAAGUGCGAUGUCUAUAGUUAUGGGGUCAUGUUGCUGGAAACGUUUACUAGGAGAAAGCCUAAUGAGUUUGAGGGAGAUCUUAGCUUGAAGCAAUGGGUGAGUUAUUCACUUCCAGAUGCUGUAAUGGACGUCGUAGAUGCUAACUUGGUAACACCAAUGGGUAAAGGCUUACAGAAGGAGCUAGAUGUUGUGGCAUCAAUCAUGAAAGUUGCAUUAGAUUGUUGUAAUGAAUCUCCAACAAGAAGGACCAAUAUGAAAGAUGUUGUAGGGAUGCUACAAAAGAUCAAGAUUCAACUUCUAGCAUGUUGAGCAUGUUCUUGGAAUUUGUUGUUCCAAAUAAUUUGUUUGUUGCAAAUAUUUGAUAAGGGAGACUGCUCAUCUGGACUUUACGUCGUGCAGCCUUUUGACAGAACUUCACACAACUGAGGUCCGGGGAGGGUAGAGUGUACGCAGACCUUACCCCUACCUUGAGAGGUUGAGAUGUUGUUCCCGAUAGAUCCUCGGCUCAAGGAAAAAUAAAAGAAAUUCAAUGCAGGUCGGGGGUAAACAAAUUAGCAGGAGCGAAAAACAAUUGCAGAAAUUAAAAGACCAUUUUAAAGAGAACUUUAUAAUGCACGGAACAAAACAUAUAUAGAUCCUACAGUAUUUGUACAUUUCCAUGCCUCUUAAUAGUGACAAUGUUCCAUAUAUAGAUCCUACAGUAUUUGUACAUUUCCAUGCCUCAUAAUAGUGACAAACUUGAAAAGUCGAAGGAAGAGGGAUGAAGCAGGUAAAUACUUAAAGCAAAAUCUAGCAGGAUUAUGCUCACAGUUCUUCUGAAGACUUAGUUCUUGCUUUCUAAUCAUUUAUGCUCCUAUUCUGACAUUUUGAGAUGGAAGUCUGUUGUUCUUGGUUUUGUUACUUUUUGUAGUAGCUAAUUCUUCUUCUAUACACAGUUUCACUGACAAUACACAGUCUUAUAUCAUUAUUCUCACAAGCAGGAUGCUAGCUUAGUCGUCCCUUUGCACAUCUCCAUUAAAUCUUUAGGAAGCAUCUGCCUCCUCAUAAACGACCCAAGAUAUUCGUAAUGAUUGUUGUACAAGUGUGGCAUCUUUAGACAAAAAGUUUUAUCUUUCAGGAUUGAUCAAUGUAUUAUCACUUUUCACCUGUUGUAUUUCCAAUCGAAAUGUCUUAUGGACUGUUUCCUAAGGCAUAAUUGUUGAGAUUAUCAUAACAAGUUAGUUAGAACCAGUGAAAGUAAUUAUCUGUAGUUAACAGUUAUUACUGUUCCAUCGCCUUAGUUACUGUUACACUGCUUACUUGUACAACUGGUUAGUUAGUUGGUUGUAACAACUUGCAAGCGAAGGGAGUGAUAAUUAGGAAGCUUCUAGAUGAUUCUAGAGACUUUGUACAAUUCUAUAAAUAGCUCCUAAGUCACUUAGAAGAGAUUAAUUGUAACUGUUUUCUUCUCAGUUCAUAUCAAUGAAAUUCUCUGCUUUCUUUUUCUUCCCUUAUCUGUUAUUUUUCAGCUAUGAGAUGGUGUGUAUGUUACUACUAUAUUUUGACAUGAUAUCAGAGCCACAGGUUAUCGUGGUUCAAGAGCAUCAUUGAUCUCUAGCUGAGGUGAUUUAAGAUCCCUAAAUUGAUGGCUGCAGCAUUGAAGGUUAGAUCUCUGUUUGAAGCAUAAUUUUGAGUUGUUUUUUUUUGGCAAUUGUAUUGAUUACUCAGAUCAUAUAGUAUAGUUGGAGAUCCUAGUGAAACUUAUCUUAUUUCGAAGAUUAAGAUGCCACCUAAGAUAGAGUCAAGUGAUCCAUUGUACAUAGAAGCUUCAGAAGUGUCUGGAGCUACAUUGAUUCCAAUCAAACUCAUUGAUUUAGAAACCUAUGGAGUAUGGAGUAGAUUGAUGAGAAUUGCCUUGUUAGGAAAGAGGAAGUUUGGUUUUUUAAAUGGAACUUGUAGCAAGGAAAAUUACAAAGAACUGCAAUGCAAUUGCGCUCUCAUGGUCGAUGAGUUCUGUUAGUGCAGAGUUGUUAAGCGGAAUAGUGUAUGCAAUAGGUGAAUUUGAGGUGUGGGAAGAUCUAAAGGAGAGGUUUGAUAAGGUGAACCGUAUGAGAUUGUAUCAGCUGCAUAAUGAGAUAAAUACUCUGUCACAAGGAACUGAUUCUUUAGCAACUUCACAAAAUUGAAGAAUUUAUUGAAUGAAUAUGAUGCAGUGAUUCCAGCACCAUCAUGCAGUUGUCCAAAGUCAAAAGAAUGUGAAGAUCACUUGUAGGAAUUAAGGCUAAUUCAGUUUUUGAGUGGGCUAAAUGACUGAUAUGACUUAUCCAGGAGACAGGUUCUGCUGUUAAUGGAGGGUGAAAUGCAACACUUGACUUGGGCAGCUACUAUUACUGAGAAAAACAGAUCAUGUUUCAAUGCAAGUGAAUAGAGGAUCAAACACAUGUUAUGGACAUCAAGGAUACAAAGGAAGAAAGUGUACUUAAUGCAGUUUAGUGGACAUACUAGAGAGAAUUGCUACAAGUUGAUAGGCUAUCCAAAUGACUGGAAGCAACGGCAGAAGAACAACUAUAAUAAUGGAGGUUCUGGGGGAUAUAAUCAAGGAUAUGGAAGAAUCAAUGGACAUGAAAAUCAAUAUUCAUGUCAACUUAAUUCACAUACUAACUUUACUGAUGCAGGACAUCAUGAUUCAACUGGUCAUGAAGGCAGCAAAUAGAUCAACAAUGCAAUUUUGGCCAAGGGAUAAGCUUUCACUGAUUAAGAGUACAAGUAGAUCAUGGAGAUUUUGAACAAGGAUUCACAGGAUGUGAAGCAAGCAAACAUGUCGGAUAUAGCUGCAUGUUCACUAGCUCACAUUAAGUCACAACAAUGAAUAGUGGACUCUGGUGCUCUACUCAUCAUAUAGCUGUAAAUGAGACUCUGUUGUCUAGCAGUAAAGUAGUUAGGCCAAAAAUGGACAAGAUGAAUCUACCUAAUUGUGUUGAAGUUGAUAUUUCACAUACUGGUGAAGCUAUAAUCUUUUAGAAUGAAAUUAUGAAAGAUGUGUUGUUUGCGCCUGUAUCCAAGGCCACUAGACAACUGUCUUGCUUUAUAUCCUUUUACCCCGACUUUUGUGUAUUUCAGGACAUUUACAAUGGCAAAGUGAAGGGGAUUGACAGAGAAAAUGGAGGCUUGUACAUUCUGAGAAGUGACAGUGAAGGUAGUUGGUCAUAAGGUAGUUGCUCAUCAGAAGGGCAAAGGAAGCAAGAAAAUCUGGUAGCAGAAGUUACUAUGGACACCAGCCUUUGGCAUAGAAGACUUAGACAUCCAUCUGCUCAAGUAUUAAAGUCUCUAGAUCUUUUAAAUCAUAAUAAAGACAUAGAGUUGCUGAAUAAAUGUCACAUAUGUCCAUUAGCCAAAAAAACUAGGUUGACAUUUCCUAUUAGUGAUGCUAGAUCUACUGAUGCUUUGACAUUGUACAUAUGAAUCUUUGGUACCUUAUAAAACUCCAACCUUUGAUAAGAAGUUUUAUUUUCUAACAAUAGUGGAUGACUACAACAGA